UCAAUAAGCGGAGGAAAAGAAACUAACAAGGAUUCCCCUAGUAACUGCGAGUGAAGCGGGAAGAGCUCAAAUUUAAAAUCUGGCGGUGUUUGGCCGUCCGAGUUGUAGACUAGAGAAGUGUUACCCGAAUUGGACCAUGUAUAAGUCUCCUGGGAUGGAGCGUCACAGAGGGUGAGAAUCCCGUGUUUGACAUGGAUCACUAGUUCAUUGUGGUAUGCUCUCAAAGAGUUGAGUUGUUUGGGAAUGCAGCUCUAAAUGGGUGGUAAAUUCCAUCUAAGGCUAAAUAUUGGCGAGAGACCGAUAGCGAACAAGUACCGUGAGGGAAAGAUGAAAAGAACUUUGGAAAGAGAGUUAAACAGUAUGUGAAAUUGUUGAAAGGGAAACGUUUGAAGUCAGUCGUGUUGGUCAGGGAUCAAGCCAGCAAUUGUUGCUGGGUGUACUUCCUGGGCAAUGGGCCAACAUCAGUUCUGACUGGUGAAGAAAGGCAGAGGGAAUGUGGCACCUUUUGGUGUGUUAUAGCCCUCGGUCAUAUACGUCAGUCGGGACUGAGGAACGCAGCGCGCCGCAAGGCAGGGUUUCGACCACGUUCGCGCUUAGGAUGUUGGCAAAUAAUGGCUUUAAGCGACCCGUCUUGAA
rnacentral:rRNA from 1 species